GUUCAUGUGUGUAGAUUUAUGACACACACAUUUAUAAUGCCCCCGGAAAGUCGGCAGCUGAAAGCCAAAAUCCGCACCAAAUGAAAAGAAAGCAAGCGAACGACGCGGGAGGGUAGAAGCAGGCUUGGGCUGAGCCGCUCGAAUGGAAAUUGAUUUUGAAUAUGGAUGGCUUACACAGUUUAUGAUUGAAUUUCAAAGAUUUUAAUGACAGUUCAAUAUAAUGAAUCAGUUUUCAAUUUCAUAUCGGAAUCCAAUUUACUAAAAUCAUUUCUUUAUUAUUAUUGUGGAAAUUAAAGAAUGUGUAUAUAUUUUUCUUUAAGCUGCCGAAUUGUUCUUGAAUUCCAUUUCCCUUUUACAGAUAUGUGGGAUUGCUGCUGGUCGAAAUUGUUGAGUUUGUUGAAAAUAUCUUUGAAAACAGAAUAUUUUGCCAUAUGGUUAAAAUUGAGAGUCUAGUUCGCAUAGAAACAGACAGACGGACGGACGGACGGACAGGCGAAUAUAUAUACUUUUUUGGAUCGGAUGUGUCCCCUACUAAGGUCUCUGAAAACAGGUGUUCUAAAUAGCUAAACAGGAUAACUAGAAGGUUGCCAUUUUUUCUGAAAUAUCCGCUGCUUCCUUCCGUCUUUCUGUCUUCUUCCUUCCUACCCACUUCUUAGGGAAUAUUUAAUCUCUUUUAAUUAAUUAAUUUCU